GGAAAGCAGUGAGUAUAAAUACUCACCCUUCGACGCCAACGGCCAUUUUGAGUGCGAGCAGCAGCGGAGGCAAGACGGACCCGGAAGACUGCAGCUAAGGUAAAGCAGUUUAUUUUUAAAAUUACUUACCGAUAGCGGGCAGCGGUGUUUUUUUUUCCUCUUUCAGAGAAGGAGCGGGAGCACCAGAGGAAGUGACGAGGACCAGAGGGGCAGCCGGGAAGGAAAGCAGUGAGUAUAAAUACUCACCCUUCGACGCCAACGGCCAUUUUGAGUGCGAGCAGCAGCGGAGGCAAGAUGGACCCGGAAGACUGCAGCUAAGAUUUCAAGUUGCUCAUGGGGUUCUGAUGCAGAUCAAGCAAAUCAUUUGUUGCAUCUCCUGUCUUAAAACAGUACCCAUGCUUUGAAGCAAUUAAUUGUUUGUGAAGCUGCUUGAGACAUUUCAAUGAGAUGAAAUACACAACUUUCUUUUGAAGCAAAGAAGCCUGAGGAAUGCCUGACCUUACAACAUUAAAGGUAUUCUAUAAUUGAAGAUAUCAAUUACAGGCAAUUGUGCAUAAUUGGUGGGUAUUAGCAACUUGCACAAUAUGGAACUGCUUCCUCUGUUAAACAGCAGCCUGACAAAUAGCUGCCUCUCGAGGCCUUCACAACCUGAAGCGUGUACAUGCUGUGGGAUACGCUAAACCAUGGCGUGGGGAAAGACCACUGUCUGAGGUGUUUCUGCUGAAGCUUAAAUGGGGGCCUACUCAGUUAUUAGAUUCUCCUAGUGCUUCAAAAAGCAUAAAUAUUGGUAUUGUAUAUGUAAAAGAGGUCUCUGAUGGUUUUUGAAUUGAGUGAAAGUCCAAUGUUUUGUUUACUUACUUGAUAUGCAACCAUACAGAACCAUACUGCUUUUUGUGACAAUGUACAUACACAGUUUUUUUUUUAAACGAAUAAAGUCUAUUUCUGAAAUAAUAAAAGUUCUCAGGCAGAAGAUACAGAAGCUUAAACACAUGUACCAACGGCUUCUUCCCUGCUGUUAUUAAAUUGCUGAAUGGACCUCUCUAAUUUCAAAUCUGAUGUUGAUCUUGCUUUGAACGUACACUGAAGCUAUAACUUUGUAUUCCUCGCUCUGUCUAAACACCCCAUGAUCUGUAUGUUCUUAUGUGUUAUCUGGCUGUACUGCAUGCAAAACAAAACUUUUCACUGUACCUAAGUACCUGUGACAACAAUAAAUCAAAUCAAUUAGUGUCCUGGA